CCUACGGGUGGCAGCAGUGGGGAAUAUUGCACAAUGGGCGAAAGCCUGAUGCAGCAACGCCGCGUGAGCGAUGAAGGCCUUCGGGUCGUAAAGCUCUGUCCUCAAGGAAGAUAAUGACGGUACUUGAGGAGGAAGCUCCGGCUAACUACGUGCCAGCAGCCGCGGUAAUACGUAGGGGGCUAGCGUUAUCCGGAAUUACUGGGCGUAAAGGGUGCGUAGGUGGAAUGCCAAGUCAGCGGUAAAAUCGCGGGGCUAAACCUCGCUCCGCCGUUGAAACUGGCGUUCUUGAGUGGGCGAGAAGUAUGCGGAAUGCGUGGUGUAGCGGUGAAAUGCGUAGAUAUCGCGAAGAACUCCGAUUGCGAAGGCAGCAUACCGGCGCCCAACUGACGCUGAGGCACGAAAGCGUGGGUAUCGAACAGGAUUAGAUACCCCGGUAGUC
rnacentral:rRNA from 1 species